rnacentral:rRNA from 1 species
GGCGGUAUGCUUAACACAUGCAAGUCGAACGGAAACGAAACUAGCUUGCUAGUAGGCGUCGAGUGGCGGACGGGUGAGUAACGCGUAGGAAUCUGCCUGAUAGUGGGGGAUAGCCCGAAGAAAUUCGGAUUAAUACCGCAUAAUCUAUUCGUAGUAAAGUGGGGGACUUUCGAGCCUCACGCUAUCAGAUGAGCCUGCGUAAGAUUAGCUUGUUGGUAGGGUAAAAGCCUACCAAGGCAACGAUCUUUAGCUGGUCUGAGAGGAUGAUCAGCCACAUCGGGACUGAGACACGGCCCGAACUCCUACGGGAGGCAGCAGUGGGGAAUAUUGGACAAUGGGGGCAACCCUGAUCCAGCAAUACCGCGUGUGUGAAGAAGGCCUGAGGGUUGUAAAGCACUUUCAAUUGUGAAGAAAAGUUAACGGUUAAUAACCGUUGACCUUGACGUUAACUUUAGAAGAAGCACCGGCUAACUCCGUGCCAGCAGCCGCGGUAAUACGGAGGGUGCAAGCGUUAAUCGGAAUUACUGGGCGUAAAGCGUGCGUAGGCGGUUUAUUAAGUCAGAUGUGAAAGCCCCGGGCUUAACCUGGGAACUGCAUUUGAAACUGGUCAACUAGAGUAUGGUAGAGGAAAGUGGAAUUUCUGGUGUAGCGGUGAAAUGCGUAGAUAUCAGAAGGAACAUCAAUGGCGAAGGCAGCUUUCUGGACCAAUACUGACGCUGAGGUACGAAAGCGUGGGUAGCAAACAGGAUUAGAUACCCUGGUAGUCCACGCCGUAAACGAUGAUAACUAGCCGUUGGGGGGAUUUACCCCUUAGUGGCGAAGCUAACGCGUUAAGUUAUCCGCCUGGGGAGUACGGCCGCAAGCUAACCUAAAUGGAUGG